AGUGAACGCUGGCGGUAGGCCUAACACAUGCAAGUCGAACGGCAGCACAGUAAGAGCUUGCUCUUACGGGUGGCGAGUGGCAGACGGGUGAGGAAUACAUCGGAAUCUACUUUUUCGUGGGGGAUAACGUAGGGAAACUUACGCUAAUACCGCAUACGACCUACGGGUGAAAGUAGGGGAUCUUCGGACCUUGCGCGAUUGAAUGAGCCGAUGUCGGAUUAGCUAGUUGGCGGGGUAAAGGCCCACCAAGGCGACGAUCCGUAGCUGGUCUGAGAGGAUGAUCAGCCACACUGGAACUGAGACACGGUCCAGACUCCUACGGGAGGCAGCAGUGGGGAAUAUUGGACAAUGGGCGCAAGCCUGAUCCAGCCAUACCGCGUGGGUGAAGAAGGCCUUCGGGUUGUAAAGCCCUUUUGUUGGGAAAGAAAAGCAGCAGGUUAAUACCCCGCUGUUCUGACGGUACCCAAAGAAUAAGCACCGGCUAACUUCGUG
rnacentral:rRNA from 1 species